rnacentral:rRNA from 1 species
UACAGAGGGUGCAAGCGUUAAUCGGAAUUACUGGGCGUAAAGCGUGCGCAGGCGGUGAUGUAAGACAGAUGUGAAAUCCCCGGGCUCAACCUGGGAAUUGCGAUGGAGACUGCAAGGCUAGAAUCUGGCAGAGGGGGGUAGAAUUCCACGUGUAGCAGUGAAAUGCGUAGAGAUGUGGAGGAACACCGAUGGCGAAGGCAGCCCCUGGGUCAAGAUUGACGCUCAUGCACGAAAGCGUGGGGAGCAAACAGG